UUUUUAUAUAUAUAUAUAUAUAUAUAUAUAUAUAUAUAUAUAUAUAUAUAUAUAUAUAUAUAUAUAUAUAUAGAUAUAUAUAUAUAUAUAUAUAUAUAUUUUUUUUUUUAUUAGGGUAGCCCCCAAAAUAUUGGGACAUAUAAAAAAAGACAACUCUGUUCCGCAGAGUAGCUGUUGACAUUAUAGGUGUGCAGGCACUUUGUUGACUCUAGAGAACCUUGGGCCAAUCGCACAUCCCCGUGGCGGCGACUUUGCAUGCGGAUGUCAUCCUUAUCAACUUCAGAUGCCAGUUUCUGUGCCUACCAUGGUGACCACGGGUAACGGGGAAUCAUGGUUCCAUUCCGUACAGGGACCCUGAGAAAUGGCUACCGCAUGCAAAGAAGGCAGCAGGCACGCAAAUGACCCACUCCCGACGCGGGAAGGUAGUGACGACAA